rnacentral:rRNA from 1 species
UUGGAGGGCAAGUCUGGUGCCAGCAGCCGCGGUAAUUCCAGCUCCAAUAGCGUAUAUUAAAGUUGCUGCAGUUAAAAAGCUCGUAGUUGAAUUUCGGGACCAUCAUGUCGGUCGUGCCUCGGUACGUACUGGUAUUGUUGGUUUCUCCCUUCUGACGAACCAUGAUGUCAUUUAUUUGGUGUUGUGGGGAAUCAGGACUGUUACUUUGAAAAAAUUAGAGUGUUUAAAGCAGGCUCACGCUUGAAUACAUUAGCAUGGAAUAAUGAAAUAGGACGUUUGAUUCUAUUUUGUUGGUUUCUAGGAUCGACGUAAUGAUUAAUAGGGAUAGUUGGGGGCAUUAGUAUUCAAUUGUCAGAGGUGAAAUUCUUGGAUUUAUUGAAGACUAACUACUGUGAAAGCAUUUGCCAAGGAUGUUUUCAUUAAUCAAGAACGAAAGUUAGGGGAUCGAAGACGAUCAGAUACCGUCGUAGUCUUAACCAUAAACUAUGCCGACUAGGGAUCGGAUGAUGUUAAUUUUUUUAAUGACUCAUUCGGCGCCUUACGGGAAAC